rnacentral:rRNA from 1 species
CAAGUCGAACGGUAACAUGACUAGCUUGCUAGUUGAUGACGAGUGGCGGACGGGUGAGUAACGCGUAGGAAUCUACCCAGUAGCGGGGGAUAAGCCAGAGAAAUUUGGUCUAAUACCGCAUACGCCCUACGGGGGAAAGCAGGGGAUCUUCGGACCUUGCACUAUUGGAUGAGCCUGCGUGAGAUUAGCUAGUUGGUGAGGUAAUGGCUCACCAAGGCGACGAUCUCUAGCUGGUCUGAGAGGAUGAUCAGCCACACUGGAACUGAGACACGGUCCAGACUCCUACGGGAGGCAGCAGUGGGGAAUAUUGCACAAUGGGCGCAAGCCUGAUGCAGCCAUGCCGCGUGUGUGAAGAAGGCCCUAGGGUUGUAAAGCACUUUCAGCAGUGAGGAAAGGUUAGUAGUUAAUACCUGCUAGCUGUGACGUUAACUGCAGAAGAAGCACCGGCUAACUCCGUGCCAGCAGCCGCGGUAAUACGGAGGGUGCGAGCGUUAAUCGGAAUUACUGGGCGUAUAGCGCGCGUAGGUGGAUUGGUCAGUCAGAUGUGAAAGCCCAGGGCUCAAACUUGGAAAUGCACCUGAUACUGCCAAUC